GACGAACGCUGGCGGCGUGCUUAACACAUGCAAGUCGAACGGAGCGAAUGAAAGCUUGCUUUUAUGAGCUUAGUGGCAAACGGGUGAGUAACACGUAGACAACCUGCCGACAGGAUGGGGACAACAUUCCGAAAGGAAUGCUAAUACCGAAUGAAGUCAGAGGAGGGCAUCCUCCUCUGAUGAAAGAUGGCCUCUUUUUAUGCUAUCACCUGUUGAUGGGUCUGCGUCUGAUUAGCUGGUUGGUGAGGUAACGGCUCACCAAGGCGACGAUCAGUAGCCGGUCUGAGAGGAUGAACGGCCACAUUGGGACUGAGACACGGCCCAGACUCCUACGGGAGGCAGCAGUGGGGAAUCUUCCGCAAUGGGCGCAAGCCUGACGGAGCAACGCCGCGUGAGUGAAGAAGGUCUUCGGAUCGUAAAGCUCUGUUGACGGGGACGAACGUGCGGAGUGCGAAUAGCGC
rnacentral:rRNA from 1 species